UAUAUUUAAUCUGGUGGUUUUUCUUUAUUAUGAUUAAUAGUUUUGUUUUUAUUGCUUUAUUUAAUUUAACUUUCUUAUAUACAGUUUCAGCCCGUUUUCUCUUCAAUUUUUUUAAAUCUCUAAGAUGAAUAACGCACGAAGACAAUGCUCAGAAUGUUGAAGUAAGAAAUUUGAUCAUUAAUCUUGUAAUUAACGAAGGUAAAAGUACAAAAGAAGUAUCGGAUCUCGUGCAAAGAAGUGAGACUUCAAUACGACACCUGGUCCAUCGAUAUAUAUCAACAGCUAAUAUCAAUCCUGGUAUUAGAGUUGGUUUUCGACAGUCAGGUUGUACUGAAAAAAUAAGAAAUAGGCUACAUGAGUUAAUUGAAGAAAAACUAUAAUCUACAGGAGAUAAAGGUAGAAUUGGGGAGGAAAAAGAGUUUACUUUGUGAUGGACAACGUUAAGCUUCAUCAUUCUUUAUCAGAUUUUUAUGAUAGGUAUCCCUAUGAAAUUUAUUUUUUACCUCGAUACUCACCUUUUUUAAAUCCUUGUGAAAAAAAUCUCGAAAAUUAAGAAUACUACAAGAGGACAAAUAACCCCAAUUGGAAAUAACGAUUUGUUAGACCGAAUGAGGAACGGUUGUGAGCACGUUACUAAACAUGAUCUUUCAAACUUCGUGCGAGACUGCGAAUUUUUCUUACGCAAUGUGUUAUUGGAGAUAACAUAAAUAGAGAAUAAAGUCCUAAUUUUUUAAAAUUUGUUUUUUCGAACUUGCAUGUUCCAAUUGGAAUCACCGCUGCUAACAAAUAAGCUCCUAUUAUAAUGCAUAUGGAAUGUUAAGUUUCUCCUGAUCAUGAUUGAGUCAUCACCGCAAAUCACAAGCUCAUCCUGUCUCUCUACAUAGGCAUUUAAAUCAAACUACAUAGGUUUAGAAAUUCUAAAGCAGUUUCCUAUUUCGGCCCCACUUAUGUUUCUGUUCGAUCUGGAAAGCAUUUAUCAUGGACAGUGUAUGCUCACGGAUUGGACUUUGAACAACUUUUGAUUCUGCCAGAGUUUGAUUCCAUUACAAAAGACCCUUUAAUCAAAUUGGUCAAGUCAGUGGUUGUCUUCCGUGUUGGUUUAGCGGGAUUGAUUCUCCCUCAAGACUUGUGGUAAAACAGUGAAUCCUUUUUGGAGAAACAGAACUUUUGAUUUCGCUGGAAAGAUCUGAUCACUUAAAUCAUUUAAAAUUCCUCCUUAAAACCUGUUUUGUCCCUUUGUGCAAUCAGGUUUGUCUUAGAGAAUCUGUAAGCAUUGUAACUUGUACAUUGCCUCCUAAGUCAUGUCAUUAUUAAUCAUUCCAAUUUCAUUAACCAAAUAGCUAAUACCCUUUUGCGAGUUAGACCUGUUCCCAUUGCUGCCAAGCACAAAAUAGAGUUAAUGACUGUUAUUGCGGUAAAAGAGAACACGGCCUUUGGUGAAUAGUUUGAUGAGGAAGAAAUUGAAACGGAGGACUUUAAUAUUCCAAAUGAUGCAACUAUUUUAGACGAAUCGGCCCUAUUUCAAUCAUACCAAUUAACGACAAUUUAAAAAAUUCUGGAUGAACGAAAGGGAGGUCUGAACAAGAACAAACAACUGAAACAAACGUGGAAAUACCCGAUAAGCUACUGAAUGAUAUUUAAAUACAGAAAAAUGUAAUUCAUGUAAAAAAUUUCAAUAAAAAUGCUUAAAUUUUCUUAA